UACGUGGGGUGCAGGCGUUGUUCGGAAUUACUGGGCGUAAAGCGCGUGUAGGCGGCCUGUUAAGUCUGACGUGAAAUCCCUGGGCUCAACCCAGGAACUGCAUCGGAAACUGACAGGCUAGAGUCCGGGAGAGGGUAGCGGAAUUCCUGGUGUAGAGGUGAAAUUCGUAGAUAUCAGGAGGAACACCGGUGGCGAAGGCGGCUACCUGGACCGGUACUGACGCUGAGACGCGAAAGCGUGGGGAGCAAACAGG
rnacentral:rRNA from 1 species